rnacentral:rRNA from 1 species
GACGAACGCUGGCGGCGUGCCUAAUACAUGCAAGUCGAGCGAAGUUUUUCUGGUGCUUGCACUAGAAAAACUUAGCGGCGAACGGGUGAGUAACACGUAAAGAACCUGCCUCAUAGACUGGGACAACUAUUGGAAACGAUAGCUAAUACCGGAUAACAGCAUUAACUGCAUGGUUGAUGUUUAAAAGUUGGUUUUGCUAACACUAUGAGAUGGCUUUGCGGUGCAUUAGCUAGUUGGUGGGGUAAAGGCCUACCAAGGCGACGAUGCAUAGCCGACCUGAGAGGGUGAUCGGCCACACUGGGACUGAGACACGGCCCAGACUCCUACGGGAGGCAGCAGUAGGGAAUCUUCCGCAAUGGGCGAAAGCCUGACGGAGCAACGCCGCGUGAGUGAAGAAGGAUUUCGGUUCGUAAAGCUCUGUUGUUAGGGAAGAAUGAUUGCGUAGUAACUAUACACAGUAGAGACGGUACCUAACCAGAAAGCCACGGCUAACUACGUGCCAGCAGCCGCGGUAAUACGUAGGUGGCAAGCGUUGUCCGGAAUUAUUGGGCGUAAAGCGCGCGCAGGUGGUUUAAUAAGUCUGAUGUGAAAGCCCACGGCUCAACCGUGGAGGGUCAUUGGAAACUGUUAAACUUGAGUGCAGGAGAGAAAAGUGGAAUUCCUAGUGUAGCGGUGAAAUGCGUAGAGAUUAGGAGGAACACCAGUGGCGAAGGCGGCUUUUUGGCCUGUAACUGACACUGAGGCGCGAAAGCGUGGGGAGCAAACAGG